UGGAUAUAGUAUAGAGGAUACGAAGACCUGCUCUUAGAGAACCGAAAAACCUGUGCUGCAUGGCUGUCGUCAGCUCGUGUCGUGAGAUGUUGGGUUAAGUCCCGCAACGAGCGCAACCCUUGUCAUUAGUUGCUACAUUUAGUUGGGCACUCUAAUGAGACUGCCGGUGACAAACCGGAGGAAGGUGGGGAUGACGUCAAGUCCUCAUGGCCCUUAUAGGUGGGGCUACACACGUCAUACAAUGGCUGGUACAAAGGGUUGCCAACCCGCGAGGGGGAGCUAAUCCCAUAAAACCAGUCGUAGUCCGGAUCGCAGUCUGCAACUCGACUGCGUGAAGUCGGAAUCGCUAGUAAUCGUGGAUCAGAAUGUCACGGUGAAUACGUUCCCGGGUCUUGUA
rnacentral:rRNA from 1 species